rnacentral:rRNA from 1 species
GCCGUAGGUGAACCUGCGGAAGGAUCAUUACCGAGUUGAUUCGGGCUCCGGCCCGAUCCUCCCACCCUUUGUGUACCUACCUCUGUUGCUUUGGCGGGCCGCGGUCCUCCGCGGCCGCCCCCCUCCCCGGGGGGGUGGCCAGCGCCCGCCAGAGGACCAUCAAACUCCAGUCAGUAAACGAUGCAGUCUGAAAAACAUUUAAUAAACUAAAACUUUCAACAACGGAUCUCUUGGUUCUGGCAUCGAUGAAGAACGCAGCGAAAUGCGAUAAGUAAUGUGAAUUGCAGAAUUCAGUGAAUCAUCGAAUCUUUGAACGCACAUUGCGCCCUUUGGUAUUCCGAAGGGCAUGCCUGUUCGAGCGUCAUUACAACCCUCAAGCUCUGCUUGGUAUUGGGCACCGUCCUUUGCGGGCGCGCCUCAAAGACCUCGGCGGUGGCGUCUUGCCUCAAGCGUAGUAGAACAUACAUCUCGCUUCGGAGCGCAGGGCGUCGCCCGCCGGACGAACCUUCUGAACUUUUCUCAAGGUUGACCUCGGAUCAGGUAGGGAUACCCGCUGAACUUAAGCAUAUCAAUAAGCGGAGGC